rnacentral:snRNA from 1 species
GCCAAAUACUGGUGCCGAAAGGCAUUUGGUCAAUUUGAAACGAUACAGAGAAGGUUUGUUCAUCACACCAUAAGUGCCAAACAUCAAACUAACAAUGCUGCAGAUUAGCAUGGCCCCUGCACUAAGGAUGACACGCUUUUCAAAGAGUGCUAAAAGUUUUUU